GCGGGUGUAGCUCAGUGGUAGAGCACUUCCUUGCCAAGGAAGAUGUCGAGGGUUCGACCCCCUUCGCCCGCUCCA
rnacentral:tRNA from 1 species